UUAUGCUUACAACAUAGCAUUAAUGCACUGGAUCCCAUUAGAACUCCCCAGUUAAGCGCACUUAAGCUAGAGUAGUAGUAUUGUGUUGGGUGACCACACGAGAAUUCCUAGUGUUUUACAUGCC
rnacentral:rRNA from 1 species